AAAAAUCUCCAGUAUGGGCAAAUGGCGCCCCGAUGCGGUAUCGUGGCAGGUGUUGGCUCGCGCACGCUGUUUAAAGAGGCACUUUAACUGUGGCAGCCCUCGUGCAAUGCUUUGUAUUUAGUACAUUCACAUGCAUUUACAACUGAACCUCAACACGCAAGAAACACGCAACCCAAUUUUCCUUGCGCCCGCGACUGAAAUUUUACCAAGUCCAUGAUUCUUAGAUGACCCCAUAAUUUUUUAAUGCAGAUCGAUGCAGGUGGACUCUACGAUCCUAAUGUACCAUGUCCUUUGAAAAUCUGCAAGGAUAUGCCCGAGUUAUGGCUAUUUUUCUGCUCAGAAUACGAUUAUAUAUUUUCUGGAAUUGCUUUAUUUAAAUGUGUUUUUU